CCUGUCCCUAGAGGCACUGCAUUUGUGACAGCUAUGUCACAUGUGCGUCUGUAGGUGGCAGAGAGAAGAGAGGCCGUCUAUGCUCAGCGUUCUGACCUGUAAACAUCUGAACAAUUUACUAAUUGUUACCUAACACU